rnacentral:rRNA from 1 species
UUCAUGGAGAGUUUGAUCCUGGCUCAGGACGAACGCUGGCGGCGUGCCUAAUACAUGCAAGUCGAGCGGACCGACGGGAGCUUGCUCYCUUAGGUCAGCGGCGGACGGGUGAGUAACACGUGGGUAACCUGCCUGUAAGACUGGGAUAACUCCGGGAAACCGGGGCUAAUACCGGAUGCUURAUUGAACCGCAUGGUUCAAUUAUAAAAGGUGGCUUCGGCUACCACUUACAGAUGGACCCGCGGCGCAUUAGCUAGUUGGUGAGGUAACGGCUCACCAAGGCAACGAUGCGUAGCCGACCUGAGAGGGUGAUCGGCCACACUGGGACUGAGACACGGCCCAGACUCCUACGGGAGGCAGCAGUAGGGAAUCUUCCGCAAUGGACGAAAGUCUGACGGAGCAACGCCGCGUGAGUGAUGAAGGUUUUCGGAUC